AGUGAACGCUGGCGGCGUGCCUAAUACAUGCAAGUCGAACGGAGUGGCGCACGGGCGAGUAAUGUAUAGCUAAUCUGCCCUCCACUAGAGGACAACAGUUGGAAACGGCUGCUAAUACUCUAUAGUGUCGGAGGAGGCUAUAUUGUAUCAGCUAGUUGGUGGGGUAAUGGCUCACCAAGGCUAUGACGCAUAACUGGUCUGAGAGGAUGAUCAGUCACACUGGAAGUGAGACACGGUGCAGACUCUUACGGGAGGCAGGAGUAGGGAAUAUUGCUCAAUGGGGGAAGCCCUGAAGCAGCAACGCGGCGUGGAGGAUGACACUGUGCGGAGCGUAAACUCCUGUUGUUAGGGAAGCGGUACCUAACGAAUAAGCAACGGCUAACUCCGUGCCAGCAGCCGCGGUAAUAC
rnacentral:rRNA from 1 species